rnacentral:rRNA from 1 species
CGGCGGACGGGUGAGUAACACGUGGAUAACCUACCUAUAAGACUGGGAUAACUUCGGGAAACCGGAGCUAAUACCGGAUAAUAUAUUGAACCGCAUGGUUCAAUAGUGAAAGACGGUUUUGCUGCACUUAUAGAUGGAUCCGCGCCGCAUUAGCUAGUUGGUAAGGUAACGGCUUACCAAGGCAACGAUGCGUAGCCGACCUGAGAGGGUGAUCGGCCACACUGGAACUGAGACACGGUCCAG